rnacentral:rRNA from 1 species
UUAGAGUUUGAAUCCUGGCUCAGGACGAACGCUGGCGGCGUGCUUAACACAUGCAAGUCGAGCGGUAAGGCCCUUCGGGGUACACGAGCGGCGAACGGGUGAGUAACACGUGAGCAACCUGCCCCUGACUCCGGGAUAAGCGGUGGAAACGCCGUCUAAUACCGGAUACGACCCGCCACCUCAUGGUGGAGGGUGGAAAGUUUUUCGGUCAGGGAUGGGCUCGCGGCCUAUCAGCUUGUUGGUGGGGUAACGGCCUACCAAGGCGAUUACGGGUAGCCGGCCUGAGAGGGCGACCGGCCACACUGGGACUGAGACACGGCCCAGACUCCUGCGGGAGGCAGCAGUGGGGAAUAUUGCGCAAUGGGCGAAAGCCUGACGCAGCGACGCCGCGUGGGGGAUGACGGCCUUCGGGUUGUAAACCUCUUUUACCACCAACGCAGGCUCGAAGUUCUCUCGGGUGAC